rnacentral:lncRNA from 1 species
CUCAGGCCAAUCAUCUGUUUGUAAAUGAUUGUGUUAUUUAUAAAUUGUAUAUGAAUUAUUAAUUAAUAAAAGUUAUUUGAUAUUUUUAUUAUAAAUUAUGCAUCUUCUUUAUUGAACUUCUGUGUUAUGAUGAAGUCUUUGAAACUACUUUCAAUCGAUAAAGAAAGAUUUAUCAUAUAGUUUUUAAAUUUAUUCAUGAUCAAACGAUACGUUAUUACUAGGACAAUAACAUUUAUCAAGUAUAGAUUGUUGUGUACCAUAUGGAUUGGUU